rnacentral:rRNA from 1 species
GAUGAACGCUGGCGGCGUGCCUAAUACAUGCAAGUCGAACGAACGGACGAGAAGCGUGCACCUCUGAUGUUAGCGGCGGACGGGUGAGUAACACGUGGAUAACCUACCUAUAAGUAUGGGAUAACUUCGGGAGACCGGGGCUAAUAACACAGAAGAUUUUGAACCGCAUGGGUCCAAAGUGAAAGACGGUCUUGCGGACACUUAUAGAUGGAUCAGCUCUGCAUUAGCUAGUUGGUAAGGUAACGGCUUACCAAGGCAACGAUGCAUAGCCGACCUGAGAGGGUGAUUGGCCACACUGGAACUGAGGCACGGUCCAGACUCCUACGGUGGGCAGCAGUAGGGAAUCUUCCGCAAUGGGCGAGAGCCUGACGGAGCAACGCCGCGUGAGUGAUGAAGGUCUUCGGAUCGUAAAACGCUGUUAUUAGUGAAGAACAUAUGUGCAAUUAGCUGUGCACAUCUUGACGGUACCUAAUCAGAAAGCCCCGGCUAACUACGUG